rfam:Schistosoma curassoni strain Dakar, Senegal genome assembly, scaffold: SCTD_scaffold0013110
AUCCAACUGACGAGUGCUAAAUAGGACGAAACAUGCAUUUUGGAU